CAUUCCCGUUACUGGAACCUCGUCCGCUGUACUUCUUCAUGGCUUUCACGCGAAACGCUUCUGCGUCGCUUAACUAUUAUAGGUCGGUGCUGCGUUAAUCGCGCGUCGGACGGACUCAUUAAUUCGAUGCAAGUCACAAAGCUAAGUACCUAGUGUAAGAGGUUAGGAAGAAAGAGACAGAAGAUAUAAAUCAAAAUGGUUGAACCCGAGUUUAUCUUUUGUUCCGGCGUACAUGUUUACGACGUUACAACGUAAAAUUGUAAUGCUCCAUAGAAUAUAACUUUCCGCUUCGGUAUACAGUGGCAACCACAUCAGGGGACAGACGUUUAUGUCCAGCUGUUGUAGCAGAAAGUGAAGUAGGGGUAAGAUUUUACAACGAGGCUCGGCAAAAGUGAUUUAUACCUUGGAAAAACUGCAUGACGUUUACGAUAUCUAGUCGCGAAUUAUUUAUGGUGGUUGCUUGUGUCAAGUGAACCUCGCUAUGCAUAUCUCGUCUUUUUCUUAGAAGAUACGCAGGUAUCAGGUGAAAGAUAGAAUUCGACUGGGUUUGACGUUAAAUCACGUGUGACACGGUGAUAUAUAUAUACAAUUUGAAGCAAAAGAUUUAAAAUGAUACCCUGGGAAACAACGAGUAAGAUGGAAGCGAAUCUUUGGCUUUUGAUCAAUGUGCUAGUAAAUUAAUGUUAAAUACACGUAAAAUCAAAAUAGCAAUUAUCUGGAAAAAGAACGCCUUUUUGUUGCUGCAUCGACUUUUAAUUUGAAGCUAUUUCAUCCCCAACUGGUAAUGCUGGUUCACCACUGCACUGUUGUAGGCGACCACAGCAGUUUGAAUUUGGUUUGAUCUAGGUCCCCUAUAUAUGGCAAUAAAUUUCAAACGCUUGCACGUCCGAGGAGAAUUGAGAGCAACUUCAUCUCUAACGCCAAUGACAUUCACUGGCUGUUCUAUUCUAUGCCCCACUUCAUGGCAGUGACUAAGCAACCAAUAGCAGUACGUUUCAGCUAGUCGUUUGUUUAAAGAGAACGUUCGCCUUCUUGAGAACGAGCGUCAUAGCUUCUGAAAACUUGUCGACCAUUUGUGCAUCGACGUCAAUAAUUCUUGACGCAUUUUGAAAAUUUGGAUUUUUGCCUGUGUCCGUUUCAACUGGAAGGGUCAGACACA